CUGGUCAGCAAACCCCCAAGAAACACAUGACUCUCUUUCUCUCUCUCUCUCUCUCUCUCUAACACACCCACACACACGCACGCACACCCACAUACCCACAUACACACACACUUCAGACACUGUCACCAGAGCUCAUAAAUGUAAAAUUUACACUAUCUACAGAACUGUCACCCUGGGAAAACACAUGUGUAGGACGGUGUGUAUAGGCCUACAAGACAUCGCCCCGGAAAAUGUGUCUUCUAGUUUAAACAAAACUCUCGAUUCUUUUAAGCAGCACUUUAAACAUUUUACACCCUAAAGGGUUAGGUUUAGAAGGCAUGUAAUACGCACGUUUCUUAUAAAACACCGUCUUUAAAAUGUUUACCUCCUAAAGGGACCUAUUUAGAAGAGUGUUAGAGGACCUGUAGACUGAACAAAUACUAAGGACAUUACAAUGCUUAACUGAUGAGGAACUUGGAGAUGGG
ensembl:lncRNA